GCACUGCUGAGGAGUCCCACAACAGGACAAAAGGACCGUCCAGUGC
rnacentral:hammerhead_ribozyme from 1 species